AUAAAAGUUAUUUUUGUGUGUGGAGAAGUUGUUUUGGAGAAGUUAGAAAUUCUAACUUAUAACUUAUGACUUAUAUAAGUUAAUAAGUUGUUUUUGAGAAGGAAUCCCAAACACAGAGAACGCAGUGAUAGAAGGGGAGUGAUAGAGAGAGGAGCGGCGGUGAUGGAGGAACCGGCCAUUGUCUUCCGCCGGCCACCCUCUUCGCCUUCGGUCAGACCGGUGGUCACAAUAAUGUUAUCGGUGGUAGCUGAAGCCGACAAUGACGGCUGGGGGUUCUAGGGUUCCGACGAGGGUUCCGGUGACACUCAUCGGAUGAUCUAGAGAAAGAACAGGAGACUUGAAGGUGAUUUUGAACAACCACAAUCUUAGAGACUUGAAUUAGUGUUCGGUGAAGUUGACUAGGUUUCCGACGAGAUUCCGACGAGAGAGAGAGACGUGAGAGCAGGGGAGACGUCGUGCACCAGCUGCGGAGCGCGGUGGCUGGCCACCGCAGAAGGCGGUCAGCUUUUGGCCCCUUCGUUACCGGUCAUCCAUGAAACCGACUUUUCUUGACGAUGAGGACUACCACAAUCACGGUUGCGAAUGAGCGAAACAGAACAAUGUAGCAUCGACUAGGUAGCUUAUUUCUAUAUUUUUUUCCGAUCUUUUUGGUUACACUUUGUUUGAUGAUUGUUUAAGAGAAUUGAGUUUCUGAGGUGGAAUUUUCAUGUGAUUGAUGUUUGA